rnacentral:rRNA from 1 species
GCGUUAUCCGGAAUUAUUGGGCGUAAAGAGCUCGUAGGCGGUUUGUCGCGUCUGCCGUGAAAGUCCGGGGCUCAACUCCGGAUCUGCGGUGGGUACGGGCAGACUAGAGUGAUGUAGGGGAGACUGGAAUUCCUGGUGUAGCGGUGAAAUGCGCAGAUAUCAGGAGGAACACCGAUGGCGAAGGCAGGUCUCUGGGCAUUAACUGACGCUGAGGAGCGAAAGCAUG